UACGUAUGGUGCAAGCGUUAUCCGGAUCUACUGGGCGUAAAGGGAGCGCAGGCGGCGCGCCAAGUCUGAUGUGAAACCCCGGGGCUCAACCCCGGGCAUGCAUUGGAAACUGGCGGGCUGGAGUACAGUAGAGGUGGGCGGAAUUCGUGGUGUAGCGGUGAAAUGCUUAGAUAUCACGAAGAACUCCGAUUGCGAAGGCAGCUCACUGGACUGCAACUGACACUGAGGCUCGAAAGUGUGGGUAUCAAACAGG
rnacentral:rRNA from 1 species